rnacentral:rRNA from 1 species
UACGAAGGGUGCAAGCGUUAAUCGGAAUUACUGGGCGUAAAGGGUGCGUAGGCGGUUGUUUAAGUCUGUCGUGAAAUCCCCGGGCUCAACCUGGGAAUGGCGAUGGAAACUGGGCAGCUAGAGUGUGUCAGAGGAUGGUGGAAUUCCCGGUGUAGCGGUGAAAUGCGUAGAGAUCGGGAAGAACAUCAGUGGCGAAGGCGGCCUGCUGGGCUGUUGCUGACGCUGAGGCGCGACAGCGUGGGGAGCAAACAGG